GCUUACGGCCAUACCAGCCUGAAUACGCCCGAUCUCGUCUGAUCUCGGAAGCUAAGCAGGGCCGGGCCUGGUUAGUACUUGGAUGGGAGACCGCCUGGGAAUACCAGGUGCUGUAAGCA
rnacentral:rRNA from 1 species